rnacentral:rRNA from 1 species
UCAUGCCGGAGAGACCAACAGGGAUUGCCUCAGUAACGGCGAGUGAAGCGGCAACAGCUCAAAUUUGAAAUCUGGCCCUCGGGUCCGAGUUGUAAUUUGUAGAGGAUGCUUUUGGCGCGGUGCCUUCCGAGUUCCCUGGAACGGGACGCCUUAGAGGGUGAGAGCCCCGUACGGUUGGACACCAAGCCUCUGUAAAGCUCCUUCGACGAGUCGAGUAGUUUGGGAAUGCUGCUCUAAAUGGGAGGUAAAUUUCUUCUAAAGCUAAAUAUUGGCCAGAGACCGAUAGCGCACAAGUAGAGUGAUCGAAAGAUGAAAAGCACUUUGAAAAGAGGGUUAAAUAGCACGUGAAAUUGUUGAAAGGGAAGCGUUUGCGACCAGACCUUUUCCUGGCGGAUCAUCCGGUGUUCUCACCGGUGCACUUCGCCAGGUCGAGGCCAGCAUCGGUUUCCGCGGGGGGAUAAAAGCUCUGGGAACGUAGCUCCUCCGGGAGUGUUAUAGCCCUCUGCACAAUACCCCCGCGGGGACCGAGGACCGCGCUCUAAGCAAGGAUGCUGGCGUAAUGGUUGUCAACGACCCGUCUUGAAACACGGACCAAGGAGUCGAACAUUUGUGCGAGUGUUUGGGUGUCAAACCCUCACGCGUAAUGAAGGUGAACGUAGGUGAGAGCCCUUACGGGUGCAUCAUCGACCGAUCCUGAUGUCUUCGGAUGGAUUUGAGUAAGAGCAUAACUGUUCGGACCCGAAAGAUGGUGAACUAUGCGUGGAUAGGGUGAAGCCAGAGGAAACUCUGGUGGAGGCUCGCAGCGGUUCUGACGUGCAAAUCGAUCGUCAAAUCUGCGCAUGGGGGCGAAAGACUUAUCGAACCAUCUAGUAGCUGGUUACCGCCGAAGUUUCCCUCAGAUAGCAGUGUUGUUCUUCAGUUUUAUGAGUAAAGCGAAUGAUUAGGGACUCGGGGGCGCUUUUUUGCCUUCAUCCAUUCUCAAACUUUAAAUAUGUAAGAAGCCCUUGUUAC